UUCGAGCCGAGGUUGAAUUCGAAUCAGUGCACUAUCAGAAUGUGAUCCGGUAAAUCGUUGGGGUUCAUUAUAAGAGAGGAAUCGAGGUUGAUCCUGCUAAAAAAAAAAGGAAAAAAAAUAUAAUAAAAAAAAAACAGAAUGCCUGAACCGAGAAAAAGAAAAGAAAGGUUUGUGGUUUCUUAAGAAGGAUUGAACUACCUGUCAUGGUUCACAUUUCAUCUAACAGCCACGGGUGAACCUAUAUUCAGGUUGUUGAAAAAAAAAUCAAACGGUCAGGUGGAUAAUGAUUGCCAAGGGGCAUUGAAAGAAAAG
rnacentral:lncRNA from 1 species